UGGUGUAUAGCCAAAUUUAGGUAAGGCACUAGCUUUUGAUGCUACUAUUUAGAGGUUCGAGUCCUCUUACACCAG
rnacentral:tRNA from 1 species